UACGAAGGGGGGCUAGCGUUGCUCGAAUGACUGGGCGUAAAGGGCGCGUAGGCGGUUUGCACAGUCAGAUGUGAAAUUCCUGGGCUCAACCUGGGGGCUGCAUUUGAUACGUGUAGACUUGAGUGGGGAAGAGGGUCGUGGAAUUCCCAGUGUAGAGGUGAAAUUCGUAGAUAUUGGGAAGAACACCGGUGGCGAAGGCGGCGACCUGGUCCUUGACUGACGCUGAGGCGCGAAAGCGUGGGGAGCAAACAGG
rnacentral:rRNA from 1 species